rnacentral:rRNA from 1 species
AUCAACGCUGGCGGCGUGCCUAACACAUGCAAGUCGAACGCGAAAGCCCGCAAGGGUAAGUAGAGUGGCGCACGGGUGAGUAGCACGUGGACAACCUGCCUUCGAGUGGGGAAUAACCUUCCGAAAGGAGGGCUAAUACCGCAUAACACCUCGGGACACAAGUUCUGGGGUUGAAAAGAGCAAUUUGCUCGAAGAGGGGUUCGCGCCUGAUUAGCUAGUUGGUGAGGUAACGGCUCACCAAGGCUUCGAUCAGUAGCCGUCCUGAGAGGGAGCACGGCCACACUGGAACUGAGACACGGUCCAGACUCCUACGGGAGGCAGCAGUGGGGAA